AAAUAAGCUGUUGUUUUUGUAGUUACAAUCGGUCCCUCCAAAACUUGCUUGGAAAACUUUUGGUUAUGUUAACAUCCCGCUCAACAUAACGUCAGGGAUUAAACGAACGCAAUUCCAGUCAUUUGCACGAAUGCUACAUAACUGCAUUUGUGUGCCAGUUAUAAUAUGAAUCGACUUGAUGAUCCACCAAAUCUGAUUAAAGGCAGAAAAGCUUCAUUCAUUGGAAUGAACGGCGGACCAGAAACCGAUGAUCAACAGCGUCUACGCUUCCAAGUAGAAUUAGAAUUUGUCCAAUGCCUGGCAAAUCCUAAUUAUUUGAACUUUUUGGCUCAACGAGGACACUUCAAAGAUUUGACGUUCAUCAAUUAUUUGAAGUAUUUGCUGUAUUGGAAAGAGCCGGAGUACGCGAAAUACCUCAAGUAUCCAAUGUGUUUGUAUUUCCUGGACUUGCUGCAGUACGAGCAUUUCAGGCGCGAAGUUGUCAAUUCUCAGUGUACAAAAUUCAUAGACGAUCAGCAAAUUUUGCUCUGGCAACAUUACACACGACGUAGGACACGUUUGCAAGCAGCAGCUGAACAGACGCAGCAUAAUAUUCAACAAAACAAUGGAAUAGCGCCACCGAAAGUUCCGUGAAAACGUGAUUACGUAUUCUUAUUCGGAGCUGAAUACAAAUGCGCUCGCUAUGUCAUUUUUUAUGUCUCAAUCGCUGCGCAAGGAACUUCUCGAUCCAACCGUAUCUCGAACAACCAAGUCAAUGGUGACUCGCAAUCAAACGGAGAGAAGAAAAAAAGGGAAGAAAGUGUAAAGACAUUCCCAUCGUAUAUUUAUUGUGUGAAUUUCAACACAAUCGGUCAUUUUUAAUACUUAUCACGCCGAGACUUAAACGUUACUUAAAGCAUUGUUUCGAGGUUCUCCCAUGUUUUCGAGCCGAUCAACUCGAGCGAUUGAACUCGGCAAAUUCCUUUGGUGUGUCUUGCAGCCUCUAAUUCGAGAUUAUAACUUCAUUCAAACUACAAGCGAGCUAAUUUUUGUUCUCGGAAAAAGUAACUAUUAUUCCGUUGCCCGCAUCCACCCAAUCCUCGGAAUAAAGCUUCUCUCGUAAUAUUUCA